AUGACACAGAGGAAACACCACCGCAAGAACCUUCACCAGUGGACUCAACAGUUUGAAGGACAGACUUUUCCCUGAAGAAGCGUGAGGUCCCUCUGAUUAAGUGGUUCUCAACAGUUCAACAGUUCUUUGAGAAAAUUGUGAAAUGUUUAGGACCACUUGACCAGUCAGACAAAUGCUGCCAGCUUGGGAAAAUGCUGCCUUUGAAUGGAUCUUUAAUGAGGACGACGUCUCUCAAGGCCUGACUUUUUUUUUUUUUUAGUGAUUUUAGAACAACUGUGAUUUCCUUUUGCUUCUCAGUUUCCUUAAUGCCUCCCUGUCUUCCACUCUCACUGUGCCCCCUUGUGUUUCGAUGCCAACUGCAGUCCAGGAGCUGUGAGGGGCUGUAAAAAUCAUCAGGCUUCAGUAAUUUUCAUUCUGCUGGCACACAUGCAAAUUUUUUAACAGCUCUGCUGCUGCAGUAACAGCCGUCUUUUUGCUGCUUUACUGUUGCCACUAUUCAGAGGUACUGAUUAAAACAAGUCAAUAAAGAAUCAUUUGUCUC